rnacentral:tRNA from 14 species
GGCCAAGUAGCUCAGUUGGUAGAGCAGCGGACUGAAAAUCCGCGUGUCCGUGGUUCGAUUCCGCGCUUGGCCACCA